rnacentral:lncRNA from 1 species
CGUCGCGCCCAGUGACGUCAGAGAGCCCGUGGCCGGCCCUGGGUCCCACCGCUGCCGGCCCAGCGCUUUGGGGAGUGACUUCCGGCCAUGCGGGGCCUCUACCGCUGCCAUCGCGGUCCCGGUCUCCUGAAGUGGAACCCGGCUUGGAGUCGAGCGCGACCCCUCGCCCGUGGGCGCAGGCGAUCGAGUAAGGGUGGGGCGGGCCUCAAACCCGGAUCAGAACCCGCCCUGACCGGCGCAGAGAUACGGGACGCAGCCUAAGCAAGGCCCGGGAAGAAGUUGGGUUUCCCUGCCAUCCUUCCUGCCCCAGCCCCUCAUCCUCAACUCACCAUCAACCCUUCCACGAUCCCAAAUCGCUCGUGGAUGACUUUGGCGAGGGGAGCCAAACAGUUGGUGGUGCAGGACGCGUUGCUGAAACAGCCAAGGUGUGCACGGACACUGUGAGAGGCGCCAAUGCUGACUGCUGUCAGCCAGCCCAGACCCUUUCUCCAUAUGCUGCCCGGGACGUGGACUCUGUGACUGUGAGGCCUGCCCGGCUGCUUUCUGCUUCCCAGCUCUGACAACCUCGCCAUGAACCCUCCUAGACCCUCAGCUCCUGCAAUAGGAAGCUGGCUGCCAAAGGCCAGGAGGGUCCCUGAAAACAGACACUGCAUUAAAGAAAAAGCUCCUGGAGGACUCCUGAAGCCUGAGGCAGCCUUGGGGCAGCAGUGGCUCAUGGUUUACAUUGGAAAGGUAAGGGAGGUUUCUGGUUUCCUGUUUUAUAAAUUUAUGUUUUUACUUGGUAUUUUGACAAACAUUUGUAUUUGAAGCACACUAAACAUCUAGUAUUGCCGUUUUCUACUUGGCUUUAGCAAACAAGCAUUAAGUGAAUAAACUGUUCCACUUUCUUCCUUCCCAGGUUUAUCAUGAGUAACCGGGUGCUUUGCUUCUGUGAUUCUUGGCCAGUGUCGGUCUGUUUCCUUUGCCAUUGAGCCUGCUCCCCUCAAUGGGGGGUUCAAUCAAUGUUUGUGGGGUUUGUUUGUUUUGAGACAGGGUCUUCCUCUGUCGCCCAGGCUGGAGUGCAGUGGUGCAAUCAGAGCUCACUGCAGCCUUGAUCUUCCUGGCUCCGGCCAUCCUCCUGCCUUGGCCUCCCGAGUAGCUGGGACUACAGGCGCACACCACCAUGCCAAGCUAAUUUUUAAAUUUUUUUGUAGAGAUGGGGUCUCACUUUUGUUGCCCAGGGUGCUUUAGAACCCCUGGGCUCAAGUGAUCCUUGACCUCCCACAGUGCUGGGAUUACAGGUGUGAGCCACCGUGCCUGGCCUCAUGGGUUUUCUUUGUUUUGUUUUGUUUUGUUUUUGAGACAGAGUCUCACUCUGUCACUCAGGCUGGAGUGCAGUGGCACGAUUUUGGCUCACUGCAACCUCCACCUUCCGGGUUCAAGCGAUUCUCCUGCCUCCGCCUCCCGAGUAGUUGGGGUUACAGGCAUGCGCUACCACACCUGGCUAGUUUUUUAUUGUUGUUGUUUUUUGUAUUUUUAGUGGUGACGGGGUUUGCUCUGUUGGCCAGGCUGGUCUCAAACUCCUGACCUCAGGUGAUCCCCACUUCAGCCUCCCAAAGUGCUGGGAUGACAGGCAUGAGCCUCUGCACCUGGCCUCGUGUUUUUUUUUUAGUUAGCCAUUUUAUACGUGUUUACUGAACACCUGUCCUGUGCCCAUAUUCUAAGUGCCUUACCUGCAUUAAACUCAUGUAACCUUCACAACCCGA